UCUGGCUUAUAGCUCAGCGGUCCCACUAGAGUGCCCAACUUAAUGAUGGCAACUAGAGGCGAGGGUUGCGCUCGUUGCGGGACUUAACCCAACAUCUCACAACACGAGCUGACGACAGCCAUGCAGCACCUGUCACCGCGUCCCGUAAGGGAACUCCCGCUUUCACGGGAUAGCGCGGGAUGUCAAGUCUAGGUAAGGUUUUUCGCGUAGCAUCGAAUUAAACCACAUGCUCCACCGCUUGUGCGGGCCCCCGUCAAUUCCUUUGAGUUUUAAUCUUGCGACCGUAAUCCCCAGGUGGAAUACUUAAUGCGUUAGCUACGUCACCGAGACAAUUAGGAAUCCCGACGACUAGUAUUCAUAGUUUAGGGCGUGGACUAC
rnacentral:misc_RNA from 1 species